rnacentral:rRNA from 1 species
GAUGAACGCUGGCGGCGUGCCUAAUACAUGCAAGUCGAGCGAACAGAUGAGGAGCUUGCUCCUCUGACGUUAGCGGCGGACGGGUGAGUAACACGUGGAUAACCUACCUAUAAGACUGGGAUAACUUCGGGAAACCGGAGCUAAUACCGGAUAAUAUAUUGAACCGCAUGGUUCAAUAGUGAAAGACGGUUUUGCUGUCACUUAUAGAUGGAUCCGCGCCGCAUUAGCUAGUUGGUAAGGUAACGGCUUACCAAGGCAACGAUGCGUAGCCGACCUGAGAGGGUGAUCGGCCACACUGGAACUGAGACACGGUCCAGACUCCUACGGGAGGCAGCAGUAGGGAAUCUUCCGCAAUGGGCGAAAGCUUGACGGAGCAACGCCGCGGGAGUGAUGAAGGUCUUCGGAUCGUAAAACUCUGUUAUUAGGGAAGAACAAAUGUGUAAGUAACUAUGCACGUCUGGACGGUACCUAAGCAGAAAGCCACGGCUAACUACGU